GUUCAACGGCCGCGGUAUCCUAACCGUGCGAAGGUAGCGUAAUCACUUGUUCUUUAAAUGUGGACUAGUAUGAAUGGCACUACGAGGGUUAUACUGUCUCCUUUUUCUAAUCAGUGAAACUAAUUUUCCCGUGAAGAAGCGGGAAUAUAACUAUAAGACGAGAAGACCCUAUGGAGCUUUAAACAACCCAGCAAUUACUUCUAAAAUUUUAAAUUUCAGAAUAUUCAUUCUUUAAGUAGUAUGUUUGCAAGUUUUUGGUUGGGGUGACCAUGGAGAAUAACAUAACCUCCACAUUGAAUGAAUUCCCUUCUAAGCUGAAAAUCACCAAUUGAAGCAUCAACACACUGACAUCUAUUGACCCAAUAUAUUUGAUCAACGAACCAAGUUACCCUAGGGAUAACAGCGCAAUCCACUUCAAGAGCCCCUAUCGACAAGUGGGUUUACGACCUCGAUGUUGGAUCAGGGUAUCCCAGUGGCGCAGCUGCUACUAAAGGUUCGUUUGUUCAACGAUUAAAACCC
rnacentral:rRNA from 1 species